CGUGUAGGCGGAUGGGGACGUCGGUUGCUGAAAUCCCCCGGCUCAACCGGGGAACGGGCACCGAAACGCCCCGUCUGGAGGGACGUAGGGGGACCUGGAACUUCCGGUGGAGCGGUGAAAUGCGUUGAGAUCGGAAGGAACGCCCGUGGCGAAAGCGAGGUCCUGGACGUUUUCUGACGCUGAGACGCGAAAGCUAGGGGAGCGAACG
rnacentral:rRNA from 1 species